UGAGCGGAGACAGCAGUACGUGUUCCCCGCACACAGAACACAGAACACCGACCACCGGCUCCUGAAUCACUGGAACUGGAUUGUUUGAGAACCGCAGACAGCACCGUACUUUCUCUCUACUCCAACCCGGGAAAGGCGCGCCGUCCUGGGCCUGAACUGCACACGGAUCCAGCCUCUUCCACCGGUUCUCUGCUGCAGUGUCACACCGCGUCUCUGAUCCGUUUGCUCGGUCUGCAUAGCCUACAUGUGUGUUCGUGUGCGUGUUUGAGGACACUUUCGCAGAGCUGUUAAUGUGAGUGUUUCUCUCUCACACACACACACUCUCUCUGUCUCUCACACACACCUUUUGGAUUGGAAGCCAAUGCAGAGCUUUUAUCCCCUAUUUCUGGAUGGAUUUCUGAAUGGUUUACAAAUCCCCCAGCUGGAUUAGGAUCGCGGCUCAGAACAACAGUGGAAGUACCAACCAACAGAACUACACACACUCCACACACACACACCACACACAGACUGGAUUUUCUCCGGAGGUUUCCAUCGGAGUCGUCACAGUUUCCCCAACGCUGGUUUUUACAUCUGCCAAUCUGGAAGUGCCCGCUGAUUAUUCUCCUAAUCAGGACUAUCUGCUGUGUGAUUAGCUCGUUGCUAACAAGCCCUGCAGUUUGGAUGGAUGCCGCUGCCCGCUGGACCCAAGCACUGCUUUCAACUCUUAAUUGCAUUACCAUAUGUUCCCUCUGCAGCCUUCACUGACAGGACCAGGGCUGGAUCCCAAACUUUCGGUUUUUGGGUUUAGUCUUUCCUACCAU